rnacentral:rRNA from 1 species
ACGAACCGAGCGAACGUUGUUCGGAAUCACUGGGCUUAAAGGGUGCGUAGGCGGGCUGCCAAGUUUGGGGUGAAAUCCUCCGGCUCAACCGGGGAAGUGCCUUGAAUACUGGCGGUCUGGAGGGAGGUAGGGGCGUGCGGAACUAACGGUGGAGCGGUGAAAUGCGUUGAUAUCGUUAGGAACUCCGGUGGCGAAGGCGGCACGCUGGACCUCAUCUGACGCUGAGGCACGAAAGCCAGGGGAGCGAACGGGAUUAGAUACCCCGGUAGUCCUGGCCCUAAACGUUGAGAACUAGGUAGUAGGCCGGACAUGGGCUUACUGCCGGAGCAAAAGUGCUAAGUUCUCCGCCUGGGGAGUAUGGUCGCAAGGCUG